UUGCAGGCUUCUAUUGGCUAAUGCAGGUCAUUUUUUGGGAAUAUCUCAGGAACGUUAAGUCCUAAAGAGCUGAGACGUGGUCUAAAAGCUUCCCGGACACCUGGUGUACCUGUGUACCAAAUUUGGUGAAGAUCGGUCCAGUCGUUUGGUCGCGCAUAAAGAACGUCCAGACAGACGUGGGGACAGACAGAAACUCAUU